GGUGUCAAUAAAAGAUGCAAUUUUCUUUUUAAUUUUUUUAUGAAUAAUAUAAUAAACCAAAAAUCAUUAAAUAUGGGUCCUAUUGUAACUUCUAGAAAGUUAUUAUAAGAUACUGUUGGAGAAGAACAAAAAUUAAGGUUGUUAUUUCUUUUGUUAACUUGCUAAAUUGAUUAGUUUAGCAAGUAAAAUUAUACUAAAUUCCUGGAGAUGCUCUAGCGCUUGUGCAGAAUUGUAAAUUUUUGUGGACAAAAUUUGAACUCCUAGAUUGCAAUUUAUAUUGGACUCGGAGAAAGUAUGUAUCAGAGCUAGCCAUGAUGUUCUAAUAAUUUUAUAAACACGGAUUAUGAAUCUAGAUCACAUACAAGAUAUCAGUCAUGAGGAUAGUUAGUCAAGUAAAAAAAAGAAAAAUCGGUUGAAAGAACCCUUCACUCUAAAAUUAAUAUUACUAAC
rnacentral:lncRNA from 1 species